rnacentral:lncRNA from 1 species
GCCCUUCAUGCCCUCUGCAUUAGCUCCUGCCCCUAGAUUCUUGCCCUGUUUUGAGUUCCUAUCCUGACUUCCUUCAAUGAUAAACAAGCAAUAUGAACAUGUAAGCCAAAUACGCCCUUUUCUCUCCAACUUGCUUUUUGAUCAUGUUGUUUUGUCACAGCAAUAGAAACCCUAAGACAAGCAGUAUUCUUUCAAAUACAUGAACCCAGACAUGUUGUGUAAGAAAUGAACAGAUGUGACGUCUGUAAGCCAACAUCUGGGCAUUGUGACUACAGGAUAAAGACAAGGAACAGGGGGUAAGGCAGCCUCUGGAGACAGUUGCGGGGGGGGGGGGGGGGUAUGAUCCCCUAGCUCUGAACGACAUCACAUCUGUCUUCCAUAGGCAAAGCUGAACUCUGAAGGCCUCCCGCUCUGGACUCUAUAACCCUGGACAACAUCAUUUCUUUCUGUCCAGAAAUUAUUUUCAGCCCUAGGAGCAGCCAUACUGAAUUCUGUUCAGAAAUAAAAAUGAGGGAAGAAAUGUAAGGCUUGAAAGCUCAUUGUUUAACUCUGCCAAGUUACUGAGAGGAGCGAGAGCUGACGGUGCCGUGUCCACGGUCUCACAGGCAAGUUGGCACUGGGCCAGGAGCAGACCUCUCAUCAUCUCAUGUUCAAGGAAGACUUCAAAACAGCUGAUUGCAUCAGUCUGGUGGGAAACGCUGGGACGGCUAUUGAGCAACGUGUACAUGCUCUAAGUCUAUGGAAUGACUAGAUCAGACCCACUGAGGUCUGUUGCUCUUGCAUGGCCUAGCCCUUCAUCUUGUGGCUUUCAGAGGAUGAAGAAACAUUCCUAAGCCUUGAAGGGCCUGCUGCUGAACCUUGGCAACAUCUCUCCGAAAGGAGGUGGGAGAUCUGCAUCCCAGCCACAGGCUGCUUGUCCCAGACUCCACUGCACACCUGCCCAGUCCAGCUCCAGAACGGGUACUCGCUCUCUCCUUCCUGUGGCCUCCCUUCCCUUGGGUUUCCCUUUGCAGCAGGGAGCAGAACAUGAUUCUAAGGUUGUCUUUGCGCUUAGACCCAUUUCCUUUGCUGAUGAGAUUCAAGAAUGGUGUUUUGUGCUGUGCCUGAGUGCCCGGUGAAUAGAUCCCUUGUGUUCUAGAAGAAUCGCAGUGCCUGGUUGCUCAUCACCAUUGCUGGCCCUGGCAGCUCUGAGGGGAAACCAGCUUGGAUUUCAGCCUCGGGGAUUAACAUCUCAGAGGCACAUAAAGCUGCCUGAAAGUCAAGAGGAGGCAGGGUAACGAUGCAUGGGGCUGUUGUGUGGUUAGUUUGUCUUUUGCCAUUCAUGGGGCACAGCAGCUGAGGCUGAUGAAGAUCAAACAGCCAAAAAGCAGAACCCACAGAGAGGAGUUUCCAUGGAGAGUGGAGGUCACUGUCCCUCUCAUAGUCAGCUCCACACAUGGGAUCAUAUUCACCAUGGGAUGAGGGAAGUUCAUCUCCUUCCCUCAGUGACUGGGGAACCUGGAAAUUAUAUUAGUAAAAGGAGAACCGUAUAGUUUGUUGGUAUUAAUGUUAAUGUAAUAUUAGCAUGCCUGGAAGCUUCACCCACACAAAGUCAAAGCCAGACAUGAAUCUUAGCACUUAAGAGGCUCAAGCAGGAGAAUCCUGAGUUCAAGGGCCUGCCUGGACGACAGAGCAAGGUCCCAUCCAGUCUAAGCUACAUAGUGACACUUGUCUUAAAAAUAAAUCAGUGAAUCAAGACCUUGACUCUCUCUGU